rnacentral:sRNA from 1 species
AUAAUCUAAUUAAGGUAGCAUAAUAUAGAGCCAGAAGUCAGGUGGUAUUUACAAGGUACAGAAGAGAUCUUGGACUCAAAAGGCAUGGAGUCCAGUCCUAUUUAGCUGGAAAAUCUGUGGCUUAUAUCAUCUCCAGGCACGGUAAAAUGAGGACAGCACCAUGAAGAUGAAAUGAAAGCACAAAAGAGAAGGUAUUUGGCAAACCGUGACAGUCGUUGUUAGAAAGGAAAUGUCAAAUGAGUGCACAAAGAGGGACCCGAGGGGACCCUCCUAAAAAACUGCAAGAUCCUUUCCUUUCACUGUUGCUAUGUUCUGACAAGGUUUGUUGUCUUCCUCUUAAAUGGGAGGUGAGUGUGGAGUGGAGAAAGCGAGUUGUUUGGGCCUCAGGCCUCAACCUCCACUUGAAGCCUACACAAGCUCACCUUUGCUACCCUGCAGAGAAGGCAAAAGGAGUUAAUGAUGAAAUCUCAGAAAAGCACUUGGGGGCUUUUAGAAAUUCUUACCAGCACUCAAAAAGAGUGAAUGAAAUGUGCAGCUCAGAGUGUCAUUUCUGAAGGGAGGAGUCUUUCUCUUGGAGAAGAGUCCUCAAUGAGCCUGGCCGAGGCCCGGGAUCUGUGUGAAGUGGACUAAGGAUUAAGUAGGAUGUCAACUGAGACAGAACUUCAAGUAGCUGUGAAAACCAGCGCCAAGAAAGACUCCAGAAAGAAAGGUCAGGAUCGCAG